AGUAACGCGUGGGUAACCUGACCUCAGUACAGGGGGAUAGCAGUUGAAACGGACUGAUAACACCGCAUAAGCGCACAGUACCGCAUGGUACAGUGUGUAAAAAGUAUUUAUAGGGUAUGAGAUGGACCCGCGUCUGAUUAGCUAGUUGGUGAGGUAACGGCCCACCAAGGCGACGAUCAGUAGCCGGCCUGAGAGGGCGACGGCCACAUUGGGACUGAGACACGGCCCAAACUCCUACGGGAGGCAGCAGUGGGGGAUAUUGCACAAUGGGCGAAAGCCUGAUGCAGCGACGCCGCGUGAGUGAAGAAGUAUUUCGGUAUGUAAAGCUCUAUCAGCAGGGAAGAAAGACCUCGUAAGAGGGGAUGACGGUACCUGAGUAAGAAGCCCCGGCUAACUACGUGCC
rnacentral:rRNA from 1 species